ACUUAACCUCUCCGAGUCUCUGUAAAAUGGAGGGAAAAAUUGCUUCUCAGGAAGAGUGGUUAAAUACUUGAAAGAGGCAAUGUAACUGUCUUAUGCGUAGAGCAUAGUAGGUGCUUAACAAACAGUAGCUGAUUUCUGGCAUUAUAAUUAGAUGAGGGGAAGGUCCCUCCUAGCACAGACCCUGGAAGAUUCUAUGACUCGGGGAGUGGGCAGAUUGCAUCCAUGGUCCCUGCCCUCAUUUGUAGCUACCUGAAGGGCCUGUCUCAGCAAUAAAAACAGCCAAGUGAGCACAGGCAGAGAAACAUCAUUUCCUCCUCCUCUUGAGGGCAGGAGUCCAGGCGCAGCCCCAGCAGCAGGUUGGAAUAAGUGCAGAUGCUGCAAAUUGAUGGAGGCCUGGUGUCUUCCAGAGUGGAGAUAAAGGCUGGCUGAGGAAUCAGUGAGGCCAGGAAGAGGGCUCAGCUGAGCAAUUGAUCAAAGUAUCCCUCUUCAGGAAGGAGCUUCCUGUGUUUUCUCUGGGGACUCGCCUGUUUUCCACUCCAGACUCUCCAAGAUAUGCAGAGCUUUGGGCGAGGAUCCUACAGCCACAGGUCAUGCAGAGCCGGUUGGCCACAUCCUUUGGGCCAAAUUUGGUCCUAACCAGGGCUUAGUGCAGUAACUGCUAACCAGUCCAUCUUCAGUUAAUAUUUCAUGCGAAUUGUUGAACAUCUUACAAUUUAAUCCAGAAGCUAUGUCCUUUAAGGAACCUUCCCUGAGCCUGUGAGCUUUAUUGUGGGUUGGGGGUGAAGGAGUGGACCUU
rnacentral:lncRNA from 1 species